UUCCAAUCAAUAGCAAUGGCCCACAAAAACAAAGUCUUCCAGAAAAAAUUCCUAAACUCUUCCAAGGAACGUUCAUGGUCCUCAAAGAGUCUCUCGUUUCUUUCAUUCCAAAUACACCAGAAAAUACAUAUAGGAACCAUCUUCCACACGGCUGCAAUCUGUAGUGUCCCUGUGAUCCCUCUCCAGCUUGCUAACAAAUCAACCACCCUACCCGGCAUCACCCAUGCUAUACCCAUUCUACUAAGAAAAUAAGUCCAAAUAUCUUGGGCAAACUCACAAUGUAGUAGUAAAUGGUCCACCGAUUCACCACUAUUUCUGCACAAACAACACCAGUUCGUAAUAAUAAGGCCGCGUCUUCUAAGAUUCUCAAUGGUCAAGAUCUUCCCUAGAGCUGCCGUCCAGACAAAAAAUGCAGCCUUUGUAGGUGCUUUAGUCCUCCAUAUAUUCUUCCAAGGAAAAUUGUCCCUUUGAUGCAUAGUAAUAGAGUCAUAAAAAGAGCAUACUGAGAAUUUCCCUUUUCUAGAAUGUCGCCAUUCCAUCAUAUCUUCCAUUGUGACAGCAACAGGGAUGUUGUACAGCAAAUUCAGAAAUUCCAUCAGCACCGUCACUUCCCAGUCAUGUGCAUCUCGAGUAAGGCUGAUGUUCCACUCCUGUGAACCUUGAUUAAUAACCCGCAAAUCUGCCACCAUAGCUUCCUUUUCCCGUGCAAUUCUAAAAAUCAUAGGAUAAGCAUCCUUCAAGGCCGUGUCUCUCAACCACACAUCUUGCCAGAAAUUAAUCCUACUACCAUCUCCCAAACGUAGCCGAGUAUUACUAACAAAGGAGCACCAACCUUUUCGUAUAUACUUCCAUAGCCCCACACCAUACGUCCCCCUCCCUUCUUUAGAGCACCAACCCCCCCUUUCCCUACCAUACUUCAUAUCAACCACCCCUUUCCAUAAAGUUCCCCUCUCAUGGUUGUAACGCCACAACCAUUUACCUAAUAGUGCCUUAUUGAACGCCCUCACAUUUCGAACCCCCAAUCCACCAUCUCUCAAAGGAGAGCAUACCUGAUCCCAUCCUACUAAGUGAAACUUAAACUCCUCUCCUAGCCCACUCCACAAAAAAUCACGUUGGAUCUUCUCUAUUCUAGAAGCAAUACUAGCGGGUAGGGGAAAUAAAGAUAAGUAAUAUGUGGGGAGAUUGGAUAAGGUACUCUUGAUGAGUGUGAUUUUCCCCCCUUUAGAAAGAUACAGCCUCUUCCACCCGGCCAACCUACGCUCAAAUUUUUCCAGCACCACCUCCCAAAUACUUUUAGCUUUGAAAGAAGCCCCCAAAGACUAGACUUCCAAGGUUAUGCUCUGAUCAUUUUCCUAUAUUGUUAGACUGCGGUGGGGUGCAAGGGGGUAGAAGGACAUUCAAGUUUGAGAAUAUGUGGUUAAAGAUGGAGGGUUUUGUGGAAUUAGUCAAGCAAUGGUGGAAUUCAUAUCUUAUUGAAGGUAAUCCGAGUUAUGUAUUGGCUGGAAAGUUGAAAGCAUUGAAGAAGGAUCUAAAGUCUUGGAAUGAACAGGUAGUUGGUAAUGUAAGCUUGCAAAAGAAGAGUUUAUUCCAGGAGCUACAAGGCUUGGAAGAAGUAAGGGAUGAAAAUAACAGAAAAGUUCAAGUGGUAGCUGAUUUAGAAAGAUUGACUUUAAUGGAGGAGAUUUCUUGGAGACAAAAGUCAAGGGCUUUGUGGCUUCGUGAGGGGGAUAAAAGCACAAAGUUCUUUCACCGUAUUGCCAAUGCUCAUAGGAGGUUUAACUCUAUUGAGUCUUUGAACAUAGAUGGAAAUGCUUCCUCAGAUCAGGCGGAGAUAAAGGAGCAUGUGGUUGGGCAUUUUGAACAUUUGUUGUCAGAACCUCAUUCGUGGAGGCCUUCAGUAGACGGACUAGCCUUUGAGGUCAUCGAUCAAAAUAGUAUGGCUUGGGUGGAGAGACCAUUCGAAGAGGAAGAGGUACAUCAAGUAAUUAAGAAGAUGAAUAAAGACAAAGCUCCAGGCCCAGAUGGUUUCACUAUGGCUUUUUUUCAGAAAUGUUGGGAGGUGGUGCGUGAGGAUGUAAUGCUGGUUUUCCAGGAAUUCUUCACUUUUAGUAGAUUUGAGAAAAGCUUAAAUGCCACAUUCAUUGCAUUAGUCCCUAAAAAGGCAGGUGCAAGAGAGGUACAAGAUUUCAGACCGAUUAGUCUCGUGGGCAGCGUGUAUAAGAUACUAGCCAAAGUGCUGGCCAAUAGGAUGAGCAUGGUCAUGGAGAAGAUUAUCUCCAAGUCCCAAAAUGCCUUUGUGAGAGGGAGGCAAAUUUUGGACUCGGUUCUUAUAGCUAAUGAAUGUUUGGAUAGUAGGAUCAAGUCGGGAACUCCAGGUAUUUUAUGCAAACUUGAUAUGGAGAAGGCCUAUGAUCAUGUUAAUUGGGAUUUUCUGAUAUAUAUGCUGAGUAGAUGCGGGUUCGGGGAAAAAUGGAGGAAGUGGAUGAAGUAUUGUGUGUCAACGGCUCGUUUCUCGGUUUUGGUUAAUGGUGAUCCAGUGGGCUUUUUUAAUAGCUCACGGGGUCUAAGACAAGGUGACCCACUAUCACCCCUUUUAUUUGUCUUAGUAAUGGAGGCUCUAAGUCGCAUGGUAAUAGCGGCAGUAGAAGGGGGAUUCUUUUCAGGGUUCUCGGUGGGAGAUAUUCAUGGCUCAACCAUUAUUUCUCACCUUUUGUUUGCAGAUGACACUUUGUUAUUUUGUGAGGCAAAUGCAGGACAUAUCAAAUCUUUGAAGGCCAUUUUACUUUGUUUUGAAGCGGUAUCUGGUUUGAAGAUUAAUUUGGCCAAGACGGAGAUGGUUGCCGUUGGCAAUGUUAGCCAAACUGUAAUUCAAUUUCGAAGCCUAGAUUCUUAUUCAUUUUUGUUAAACUUACUAAUCUUAUCUUGAUAGCAUUUUGGUUUUUGGUUAUUUACUUGAUACUAGUCAAUAUUAUUAUAAAUUGUGUGGUUGUGUGGCUGAUGUGUGAAAUUUUUUUUGGAUGCACUUGACACGAGCUUUUUUUUGGAUGAGACACUUGGGAGGAGCACUGCUUUCCUACUUUCUUCUGCCUGUUUACCUUUCCUCUGUUACUGUUGGAGGAUCCCCAAACAGUCCUGAAGAGUUUUGCUUAGAGGAUUGCUUGAGAAUAGCUUUAUAUG